rnacentral:rRNA from 1 species
GGGGAAUAUUGGACAAUGGGCGAAAGCCUGAUCCAGCCAUGCCGCGUGUGUGAAGAAGGUCUUCGGAUUGUAAAGCACUUUAAGUUGGGAGGAAGGGUUUCUGGCUAAUAUCCAGGAAUUUUGACGGUACCUGCAGAAGAAGCGCCGGCUAACUACGUGCCAGCAGCCGCGGUAAUACGUAGGGCGCAAGCGUUGUCCGGAAUUAUUGGGCGUAAAGAGCUCGUAGGCGGUUAGUCGCGUCUGCUGUGAAAACUCGAGGCUCAACCUCGGGCUUGCAGUGGGUACGGGCUGACUAGAGUGCGGUAGGGGUGACUGGAAUUCCUGGUGUAGCGGUGGAAUGCGCAGAUAUCAGGAGGAACACCGAUGGCGAAGGCAGGUCACUGGGCCGCAACUGACGCUGAGGAGCGAAAGCAUGGGGAGCGAACA